rnacentral:rRNA from 1 species
UACGUAGGUGGCAAGCGUUGUCCGGAUUUACUGGGUGUAAAGGGCGUGUAGCCGGGUUGACAAGUCAGAUGUGAAAUCCUGCGGCUUAACCGCAGAACUGCAUUUGAAACUGUUGAUCUUGAGUACUGGAGAGGCAGACGGAAUUCCUAGUGUAGCGGUGAAAUGCGUAGAUAUUAGGAGGGACACCAGUGGCGAAGGCGGUCUGCUGGACAGCAACUGACGGUGAGGCGCGAAAGCGUGGGGAGCAAACAGG